rnacentral:pre_miRNA from 1 species
UUCUUAAUAUAAGUAAGUUCCAUGCAAUAAUUGGAACAUAAUUAUAUUAAAA